AGCAGCCGCGGUAAUUCCAGCUCCAAUAGCGUAUAUUAAAGUUGUUGCAGUUAAAAAGCUCGUAGUUGAAUUUCGGGGUUAGCAGGUCGGUCGUGCCAUCGGUAUGAACUGGUCUCGCUGAUCCCUCCCUCUUGACGAACUGUGAUGCCAUUAAUUUGGUGUCGCAGGGAAUCAGGACUGUUACUUUGAAAAAAUUAGAGUGUUUAAAGCAGGCUCACGCUUGAAUACAUUAGCAUGGAAUAAUGAAAUAGGACGUUUGAUCCUAUUUUGUUGGUUUCUAGGAUUGACGUAAUGAUUAAUAGGGAUAGUUGGGGGCAUUAGUAUUCAAUUGUCAGAGGUGAAAUUCUUGGAUUUAUUGAAGACUAACUACUGCGAAAGCAUUUGCCAAGGAUGUUUUCAUUAAUCAAGAACGAAAGUUAGGGGAUCGAAGACGAUCAGAUACCGUCGUAGUCUUAACCAUAAACUAUGCCGACUAGGGAUCGGAUGAUGUUAAUUUUUUAAUGACUCAUUCGGGCGCCUUACG
rnacentral:rRNA from 1 species